GCACCACAAGCGCGUGGAGCAUGUGGCUUAAUUUGACUCAACGCGGGAAAUCUUACCGGGUCCGGACAUAUCGAGGAUUGACAGACAGUUACCAUGCCCUUUCGAAAGGAGUCAGGUUUUAAACCUAAUGGCUCUUUCAUGAUUAUAUGAUAGGUGGUGCAUGGCCGUUCUUAGUUCGUGGAGUGAUCUGUCUGCUUAAUUGCGUUUCAAAUUUUUAUUUGAGGACCAGGUUUUGGUUUGGGUAGUGGUCCUACGAUGACUGUGAACUGUCAUGUCUUCGGAUGUGCGACUAUCGGUCUAGGAUCGCAUCUCAGCCCCUGGGACUCUUUUGAACGCAACGGACGUGAUUGCAACCCCUUGUUGAGAUUAGAGGAGUCUCGAUAUUCAUUGGCCAAACUUACCGCUUCGAGCUUGCUCGUGCAGUUUUGUUAGCCGGUGGAUAAACUCGGGGGACUGCUGACUAUAACCAUUUCUCAAAACAGAGGAAGGUUGCGGCAAUAACAGGUCUGUGAUGCCCUUAGAUGUCCCGGGCUGCACACGUGCUACAAUGAGUGGCGCAAUGUGUGCAAUUUUGUAAGGGAUAAGAGUGUGGUCAGUAUGCCGUCGGGGAUUCCCCCUGACGUCUCCUAGCACACGAUUAUCAGCCUUUCCUUAACAGGGCGGGUAACCUUUUCAAAAUACCAGUUUGAUUUUAAAGC
rnacentral:rRNA from 1 species